UACGUAGGUCCCGAGCGUUGUCCGGAUUUAUUGGGCGUAAAGCGAGCGCAGGUGGUUUAUUAAGUCUGGUGUAAAAGGCAGUGGCUCAACCAUUGUAUGCAUUGGAAACUGGUAGACUUGAGUGCAGGAGAGGAGAGUGGAAUUCCAUAUGUAGCGGUGAAAUGCGUAGAUAUAUGGAGGAACACCGGUGGCGAAAGCGGCUCUCUGGCCUGUAACUGACACUGAGGCUCGAAAGCGUGGGGAGCAAGCAGG
rnacentral:rRNA from 1 species